UACGACUGGCGUACGUAUUCU
rnacentral:piRNA from 1 species